GGCUUCUCAUGGCAGCGGCUUCUCUUGUGGAGCUCGGGCCCUAAGGCGCGAGCUUCAGUAGUUGCGGCUCCUGGGCCCUAGAGCAGAGGCUCAGGUGUAAUGGCCCAGGGCGCAGCAUGGGGGAUCCUCCCGGAGCGGGGAUGGAACCUGUGUCUCCUGCACUGGCAGGCAGAUUUUUUUUUUUUUUUUUUAACCACUGAACCACCAGGGAAGCACACUGAUGUUCUUAAUGAGAAGAAGUUCAUGCGUGAGGAGGGGUGAAAUCGACUGCAGUAAGAAUGAAGCAUUUACACUCGCCCAACAGGAUCAGCCAGGAGUGUGACUUGAAGCAAGCAGGGUUUCAGAUUGUUUCUUGGAAACCUGCAGAUGUCUUUUCCUAAUCGGAAUUUCAGGAUGUAGGGAAUAAUGCUAAUAGGGCAGGGGAGGGGUGCUUCACAGGCAUCUCAGCAAGGGGCAGGGCCAAGUUCCCCCAGCUUCAGGUCUACCACAUGCUUACCAGCCUGUGCUCAGGCUCCUACCUACCAGCUGCAGCAGCUCUGCACACGCCUGGUGUUGCCAUCUUAAGUCAGCGUGGAUCGUGGCAUUUCUACAGGACGACCGCAGAGCUGAAGUGUGGGGCUCCCCUGUUUAUCAGAGGGACUCUGGUCUGGCAUUCCUGGUGAGCGUCACCCCAAGAGCAAGUGAAACUAGACCAAGCCAAAGGAAAAAAAAGGUUUAGACUUUAUUUUAUUAUCCAGAUUUUUUUUUUUUCCUCCUGGGAGUUGUUAAUGGGCUUUGCCUGUGACAGGUAUAUUUAAUCACUUUCUGUUCAUGAAAAUCAUUAAAGUUGG